CGUCUUUGGUUCCAAUACAAGUCUUCUUGAUCCACAUAUACCUUUACUAUGCUACAGUAAAACUGUGAGAGAUAUUUGCUUUUUUUUUAACCCAACGUCAAAUAUGUUCACGAGUUGGACUACACCAGUGAAAUAUUUAUUCUUUCAACUCUGGAUUUGAACACGGAAACUGCUCCUAGCCAAUGACUCCUAGCUAGUUGAUGUUAGCAUUUAGACGCUCUGACUGUAAACAAUGCAAUGAGGACGGACGAAGGUUCCGGUUGACACGGAAACUAAUAGUGAGGAGCACGAAGUGAAAUAAGUGUUUGGUGCAGUUUCAUUUGGAUGCUCAUACCUGCCCUCCAUGGAAUCCCUCAACACGUUUGAAUCUGAGAUGGAGGCUGAUGGACAGGGGAACUACUCUCUGUUUCCUGCUCUGGACAGCAUUGCAACUCUGUCUGGCACCACUGAAACUCUGGAGAGUGAACCACCCAGCGAAAUAGCAGAGAAACCGAACCUGACGUGGCUCGAUGCUGCGCAGAUUGUUUUGGAGGAAGCGAGAGGUCCCUUGCACAUAAAGGAAAUUAAACAGAGAAUCAUCGACAGGGGACUUGUUCAAUCCAAUGCAAAAUCAAGCUUGGAAGCUGUCAUGUACCGCGAGACACAAAAAGGCAGCAGGAGAUUCAAGAGGAUUGAAAACAGAAAUGGAGUCUUUGCUCUGCUGACUGAUGAGGAGCGGCAACAGGCCCUGCAGGCUUUCACUGCCCAGUCUUUCCUCAGCUCGCCUCAGCAGAAUACCAUCUCUGGUUCUGGGUCAGGAGUCUCAGCACCAACCUUCCCAUCUCCCACUACCUCCUCUGAGCAUAAGGCCAAGGGGAGGAGGGGUCCACGAAAGAACCAGAAUGAAAAGUAUAGGCUCAAGUACCUCCGGCUGCGCAACGCUGCUCGUGCCAUGAUAUUUGAGAAUGCAGCUCUCUGUGAUGAAGUUGCUCACAUAGAAGAAAAGUUUCUGAGAGCAAAGGAGGAGCGGAGGUUCUUACUAAAAUCCUUGUUGCAAUACCAGUCUCUGUCAGAGGGGGAGCUACUGCCCACACCCAGCUCAAGCGCUCAUCUACCUUUACCACCAGUGGCAUUGUCCUCAGGUCCUUCUGGGGCUUCAGGUCUGUCCACUACCCACAGUGUGUCAUCAACAGUGCCAACAGGCGAAGAAGGAGCACUUAAAAAACCCAAAAAGGAAAGGAAAGAGCGGGGGAGGGAGAAUGGAAAGGAUGAACUUCCAAAGAAGAUGUCCAAGAAGAGAAAACUCGCAGAUGGCUCACGGAAGGUGGUGCAGCCCAUCCCUCUCGACUCUUCUGGCCGUCCUGUCUUUCCCAUAGUACUGGGAGGUUUGACAGUCUACAGUCUGGGCGAGAUCAUCACAGACAGAAUGCUGUUUCAUGACGAGUGUGCCAUCUACCCAGUGGGCUUCUGCAGCACGCGCAUCUUUGCCAGCAUGAAAAACCCCGAGCAGCAGUGCCUCUACACCUGCCAAAUCAAGGACGGGGGAACAGGCCCACAGUUUGAGAUCGUGCCUGAAGAGGACCCUCAGAAUGCGAUCGUGGCUUCCUCCGCCUUGACGUGCCAUGCCAAUCUACUGAAGGCCAUCGCGUCUGUGAGUGCCAAGUCCGUGGUGUCGAUUGUUCCAUCAGGAGCAGAUUUCUUUGGCUUCUCUCAUCCCACCAUCCAGAAUCUCAUCCAGAGUUGUCCCGGAGCUCGCAAGUGUAGCAACUACAGAUGGAUUCGUUUUGAGGUGUGUCGCCCCGGCGAUGGCCAGGUCCCUCACAGCCUAUCAGAGGAUGACGCCUCAAUCAACUUUGAAGCGUUCCAGAGGCACCACAGCUUUGAGAACAUCAAGACAGAGCAUAUCACAGGACAGACACCACAGUCUCCUAGUUCAUCUCAUCAGCAUCACCUGACCUCCCCCACCAUGAAGGCUUCGACCUCAUAUUUCAGCUCCUGAUGCUCUGUGCUGGAGCAUCUCUGAAAUCAAGGCCAUACCUGAGCUUAGUUGUUGUAAAUAUUCCUUGUAAAUUACAAGAUGGAGCAUAUUUUUUUUUUCCCUCCACCAGGGGGCCUGGGCUUUCUUUCCAAUGUGGCUUUUUGUUAGUUAGGCUCUGUUUAAACUUCAAUAAAAGUGGGUGUAGUCAUUUUGAUUCAAUUAAUUGAUUAUGUUUUGCCAAAUGGUAAAUGGCCUGGAUUUGUAUAGCACUUUACUUAGUCCCUAAGGACCCCAAAGCGCUUUACACAUUCAGUCAUUCACCCAUUCAGUCAUUCACCCAUUCACACACACAUUCACACACUGGUGAUGGCAAGCUACAUUGUAGCCACAGCCGCCCUCGGGCGCACUGACAGAGGCGAGGCUGCUGGACACUGGUGCCACCGGGCCCUCUGACCACCACCAGUAGGCAACGGGUGAAGUGUCUUGCCCAAGGACACAACGACCGAGACUGUCCGAGCCGGGCUCGGACCGGCAACCUUCCUACAAGACGAACUGCCAACUCUUGAGCCACGAUCGGCCCCAAAUAAAAAAAAACCCCCCUUUAUAGGUAGUGUGCCUACCUUUAUGUGUUACUUUAUGACUUUAUGUAUUUGUAGGUAAAUAUACUUUGUUCCAUCCAUCCAUCCAUCUUCAUCCGCUUUAUCCGGGGCCGGGUCGCGGGGGCAGCAGCCUAAGCAGAGAAGCCCAGACCUCCCUCUCCCCAGCCACCUCCUCCAGCUUAUCCGGGGGAACACCAAGGCGUUCCCAGGCCAGCCGAGAGAUAUAAUCUCUCCAGCGUGUCCUGGGUCUGCCCCGGGGCCUCCUCCCGGUGGGACAUGCCCGGAACACCUCACCCAGGAGGCGCCCAGGAGGCAUCCUUGUCAGAUGCCCGAACCAUCUCAACUGACUCCUUUCAAUGUGGAGGAGCAGCGGCUCUACUCUGAGCCCCUCCCGGAUGGCCGAACUUCUCACCCUAUCUCUAAGGGAGAGGCCAGCCACCCUUCGGAGGAAGCUCAUUUCUGCCGCUUGUAUCCGCGAUCUCGUUCUUUCGGUCACUACCCACAGCUCGUGGCCAUAGGUGAGGGUAGGGACGUAGAUCAACCGGUAAAUUGAGAGCUUCGCUUUUACACUCAGCUCCCUCUUCACCACGACGACUUUGUUGUAAUUGAAAAAUACAUUGAAAUUUUGUUUUAAUACAGUGGAAUUUUAUCUUUCUUUUAAUCUUCUAAAGUAAAUGUGAGUCUUACAGCAGGUUUUAAACUUAAACUCUAAACAUAUCCACCUCUAGUGUGCAACACAAGUUACCAUGGUGAUCAAGCCAAAAUAUGAGAGCCUGUUUUGUGACAUUGAAAAAUCUGACUUGCAGAUCAGGUCGGGUUAAUCUUCCUUCAAAAUACACCCCUUGGCUUUCUACUGUAUGUGAAAAAUAGCUGUGCUUUAUUUUGAAGCCUGAGCUCCAGCAGUUGUUUCAGUUUUAUUGCUAUAACGUUACUUACUAAUUGCAAGUUGCACAGAAAACCAUGUGAAAAUAGUUGCUAUGCUUUUCCAUGUAUGGGAUACAUAUUGCCCAGGUAUUUAACUGGUACAUUACAGAUAAGUUUUUUUUCCAGUUUGUGCUCGCAUUUAGCAAAACAUGUUUCUGUAUUUUGUUCUUGUUUUCAGGAAAAGUGUUGGAUUUGAACACAACACAUCAGACUCCCUUAGUUGUCAUUUAUUUGUGUAGAUUUUGAGUCAAAAUGACUUGUGUUGUAAAUUUAAAUUUACAGUGUGUUAAAAUAAACAUUUGCCAUCCUU